CUGCCAUAGUACUUUGCCUGCAUUAGAAAGCUUCUGUCUUAAAACAAGCUACCCCAGGAUGGAACUUGCAGAAAACAUCUGACAGCAAAUUAAUUUCAAUAAAAACUGGUUUCUCCUUCACAAACAGUACCAAACUAAUUAAAAAGCAGCCACCUCUGAAGUGCAACGCUACAUCCGUUCAGGAAACAAGGUGCUAUGACUCUGGAAAGAGACUGGCUGAGGUCACUGGGGCAAACCCCAACUGCUGGAAAGAACAAGGAAGACUUCAUCUUACAUUGUGGGAGUUGAAGAAGAAGGAAGGAAGAAAGGGGGAGCAACACUGCCUAGCUUCCAAGAUCUGAAGAGGCAGGAUGACACUCAGGAGCAGCUGGGAAUGAAGAACAACUGCUUUUUCCUGGAGCAAGAGCUCUGAGGGAUUGCUUUUAGCUUCCACGGUUCCUCCAGUUUGGGAAGGACACUAGAUCUGGCCAUCCUUGGAGACUUAUUGAUGGGACAGCAGGUGACUGUUGAGCAUUAGUGGUCGUAGGUAAAUUCUGAACUUAAGAAUGCCUGAUAAUUGUACUUGGACCUGAAAAUUCCACAACCAAGAAAACCAACUCAUUUAUUUGACAGGCAGGAAUGCAGCCUGGUGAGUUCCAAGGCUGGAAAAAAAAAGGAUAUUCUAGUGAAGCAUCUGUUACUGACCAAAGGUCUUCCUUCUGCAGCCAGUAGGAUUCCUCAUUAAUUCUGAUCUCAGAUCUGCUACAAAGGUAUACAGUUUCUAGUACUUAAAGCAGAAUCAUAAAAUAAUGUAAGCUGGAAUGAACUGCUGGACAUCAUCUAGCUCAAUCGCUUGCUCACACCAUGGUCAACUUCAAAGUUAGAUCAGCUUGGCCAGAGAAUGUCCUGUCAAGUUUUGAGGAUCUGCAGGAACAGAAAUUCUGUGGCCCCUCUGGGCAGACCCUUCCUGUGCUGAUCCACCCUCAUCAUGAGCAUCCAAGAGGUACAGAUGAUGCAGAAGACCUUAUCUCUUACAGAAGGAAGAUACUGCUGAGCAGCAGAUGGACCAGCUCCUGCAACAACUUGCUCCAUGGUAAUGGUAGUAUUUCAGCAAAGGGGACAGCUCUGAGGCAACUGGAUGCCAACCCUUACCACUUACUUUGGCCAGUAGGGACUGAGAGUGGAAGAUUCAGAAUCACUCAGAACAGA